rnacentral:rRNA from 1 species
UGGGUAGUCCGCACGAGCGCACCUUUUCCUUAUUUGCCAGCGGGUUAAGCCGGGAACUCUAAGGAUACUGCCAGUGACAAACUGGAGGAAGGCGGGGACGACGUCAAGUCAUCAUGGCCCUUACGACCAGGGCUACACACGUGCUACAAUGGUCGGUACAAAGGGUUGCUACCUAGCGAUAGGAUGCUAAUCUCAAAAAGCCGAUCGUAGUCCGGAUUGGAGUCUGCAACUCGACUCCAUGAAGUCGGAAUCGCUAGUAAUCGCGGAUCAGAAUGCCGCGGUGAAUACGUUCCCGGGCCUUGUACACACCGCCCGUCACACCAUGGGAAUUUGUUGCACCAGAAGUAGGUAGUCUAACCGCAAGGAGGACGCUUACCACGGUGUGGCCGAUGACUGGGGUGAAGUCGUAACAAGGUAGCCGUAGGGGAACCUGCGGCUGGAUCACCUCCUU